AAAAAAAAGUAUUAAAAAAAAACAAGUAUCUCUCUCUUUUCUCUCUCUCUCUGGCUCUCCAUAUGCUUCUCUUUCUCUCUAACAUUCACACAAGCACAAACCCUACGCCACCAUCCAAAACCACAUAGUCUUCAACUACUCCGAAUGCGAAACCCAAAACCUCAAAAACGAUCUCCAAACCCUAAAGCAAAUGCGCUCUGAUCUCGAAUGCCCCAAUGCAGAUUCCCUGUCUUCCCGCUGCGACCUUUUGCAAAACUACUUCAAAGCUCUCUGUACCGUCGAAUCUCGAUUCCCGCCGUGAAUUUCACCUGGUACGACGCUUUCAAGACCAAAUUGAAGGCUUCGUAGCAGAACAUCUACCUCGAGAAGGCCUCUGUGUUGUUCAAUUGGGGGGCUGUGCAUAACCAGAUUGGAUUGUCGUUCGAUUGGUCUUCGAUUGAAGGAAGGAGAUAAGGUUCGCAUGCUUUUAUUGUUAUGGCUGGGGCGUUUACAUUUUUGAGACAUAAUGAGUCCAUGAAGGCAUCGAUUGGUUGGUUCGGCGACUGUGGAUAGUGUGCCGAGAUGUUGAGGAGGCUUACGCUAGCUCAAGCUCAGGAAUGUGUUUUUGAGAACUCUAUUGCUAAUGGGAGUACUCCUGGGGUUUGUGCUAAAAUCUCUAGACAACGAUGGGGAAUAGAAGUAUGAACUGGCAGGAGCUUGAAAAUGCAUGGAAUGGUGGAUCUGGUGCUGAGCUACUUGUAUUUCUGGUGGAGCUUCAAGAGGGUUCUUUGGAUCAGUUCACACAUGAGAUGGAACCCUUCCUAUACAAGCAAGGGAUGCCUGUUAGGUUGAACAAAGGUUUGUGACUGAUUUUGGUUGAAAAUUUAGACUGUUUUUGAGAUGUGAAUAACCAUUAUGCAGUUCUUAUAUAAUGAAUUUUUCUGUAAUUGUUUUUUAUAUAUGUCAUUUGGUCUCAAUAAGAGUAUGAGCUGCUCUUUUUUUUUAUCAGCAAAGAAAAAUUUCAUUUAACAGCAUGAAAUUAAAAGUACAGGAAGAUGACAUGCAUCGAGAGAGAUUCGGAAGUAUAAAAAUACCCCUACUACUGCUACUCGCACUCAUACAACCAACCCCUAAGCCUCUCGAUUUUUUUUUUUAAAAAAAAAAAAAAAAAGUUAAGAAGAACUUAACUAAAGAAAUUAAAAUACAUGAAUCUCCACAUAAUCAACCCACCAAAACACCAAAACCAAACUAGAAAUAACUAAACUAACUCCCAAAGCAGCUCAAACUAAGAACCCAUCUAAUCAACAUCCACGCCUCUGCCAAGGCCCACCUGCUAUUUUGAAAACUAGAUCAUUACACCUAUGUUGCUAACAACUCCCAACGCCACCCUUCUUCACACCCGACGCCUGACAGCACGCUCCGCUGCUCCACGCCUGCUGCAUGCUGGCCGGAAAACUCCAUAGCGACCCGCUCGAAAGCUGAAAAAACUCCCUUGCACAACACAGAUCCACACCCGCAAUCACACCCAACAGAUCCACACCUGCACAAAACUCCCCUGCACAAAACUCCCCUGCACAAAACUCCAUAUCCACAAACCCACUCUACAGCCCACUCGAGCACUCUACCAACUCCCCUGCAGCCCACUCCACACACCCACCGAACACCGACCACCCGCUGGGACACAGGCCUUCACCCCUCAAACUCUCAUAUGAGGAAGGGCGCUUGAGUGCAAACCGGAAAGAACUGAAACGCCUACGAACCAGAGUGCACCCCUCAAGCUCCUACUCGCCAAAAGUGCUCGAAUGAAAUUCCUGGACUCCCCUGAUGAAUCAGCUAUAACGGCAAGAUUGAAACACAAGAAGACAUCCGAUGACGACCUGGACAGCCCCUGAAUGAAACUCCCGCAGCAACAAAAAACACACCAAGGUGAGGAAGAUGGAAGACUCAAGUUUAUUGAAGGAGAAAACUAACAAGACAGCCGCCGAAACGAGCUAGGCCAGCUGACCGCCAUAGCCAAAGGCGACGGCCGGCCGACCCAAAAAGAGGCCGGGGAAGGAGGUUUUUAGAGAGAGAAGAGGGAGAGAGGUUUUUAGAAUUUUCAAAUAAUAGGCUAACACAGGCCUGAGUAUGAGCUGCUCUUGCUUGCCAUUGUUCUAACAGACUAACUGAAAUCCGAAUUAGAUGUAACAAGAAAAGUAGUACAAUUGUUAUGCUUGUCCCUUACAUUUCAAUAAAGUAUUGUCCUAUCGUAUUGUCUCUUAAGUAUAUUUUUCAUUUAACUGUUUUUUUUUUUUUUUGAAAAUGUAGUAAUUUCAUUAAACAUUUAGCAAAAAUUAAGAAAAUUGCUUAAGAAAACUGUCUGUGUUGUUGGCUACAUGUUGCAUGUGCUUUUUGUGCUGUCUGCACCUGUUUAUGCUGUGCUGUCUCUGUUGCUGGUUCUGGUUUGCUGUUUAUGCUAUUAGUUUUUAUGCUUGUUCUAUUAAUUUAUGUAUCUUGUUAAUUUAUGCUUUGAGAGUGGGAUUCCUAUGCUCAAGAAUAGGCUUCAAGAGCUCCCCGAUUCAGACAAUAUAUCGAUUGAUUUUCCAGAUGAUGGUGCAUGGAAACUGUUUCAUAAGCAGUUGCAGCAUUUCCCAAUGUUGGAAAGCCAAGUCUAUGUUUGACCUUGCGGCAUUGGUUUCUGUUAAUUGC